UAAGACAGAGGUGCCGAGCGUUAGGCGGAAUCACUGGGCUUAAAGCGUGUGUAGGCGGAUGCCUAAGUACCUUGUGAAAUCCCACGGCUCAACCGUGGAACUGCUCGGUAUACUGGGCGUCUUGAGCCACUUAGGGGCAACCGGAACAAACGGUGGAGCGGUGAAAUGCGUAGAUAUCGUUUGGAACGCCGAUGGUGAAAACAGGUUGCUGGGAGUGCGCUGACGCUGAGACACGAAAGCCAGGGGAGCAAACGGGAUUAGAUACCCCGGUAGUCCUGGCCGUAAACGAUGUCCACUAGAUCCUGGCCCCUUUGACGGGGUCGGGGUCGAAGUAAAAAUGAUAAGUGGACCGCCUGGGAAGUACGGUCGCAAGGCUA
rnacentral:rRNA from 1 species